ACACAUGCAAGUCGAGGGGCAGCAGGAUCUAGCAAUAGAUUGCUGGCGACCGGCGCACGGGUGAGUAACACGUAUCCAACCUGCCGAUAACUCGGGGAUAGCCUUUCGAAAGAAAGAUUAAUAUCCGAUGGUAUAAUUAGACCGCAUGGUCUUAUUAUUAAAGAAUUUCGGUUAUCGAUGGGGAUGCGUUCCAUUAGGCAGUUGGUGAGGUAACGGCUCACCAAACCUUCGAUGGAUAGGGGUUCUGAGAGGAAGGUCCCCCACAUUGGAACUGAGACACGGUCCAAACUCCUACGGGAGGCAGCAGUGAGGAAUAUUGGUCAAUGGGCGCAGGCCUGAACCAGCCAAGUAGCGUGAAGGAUGACUGCCCUAUGGGUUGUAAACUUCUUUUAUAUGGGAAUAAAGUUUUCCACGUGUGGAAUUUUGUAUGUACCAUAUGAAUAAGGAUCGGCUAACUCCGUGCCAGCAGCCGCGGUAAUACGGAGGAUCCGAGCGUUAUCCGGAUUUAUUGGGUUUAAAGGGAGCGUAGGUGGACAGUUAAGUCAGUUGUGAAAGUUUGCGGCUCAACCGUAAAAUUGCAGUUGAUACUGGCUGUCUUGAGUACAGUAGAGGUGGGCGGAAUUCGUGGUGUAGCGGUGAAAUGCUUAGAUAUCACGAAGAACUCCGAUUGCGAAGGCAGCUCACUGGACUGCAACUGACACUGAUGCUCGAAAGUGUGGGUAUCAAACAGGAUUAGAUACCCUGGUAGUCCACACAGUAAACGAUGAAUACUCGCUGUUUGCGAUAUACAGUAAGCGGCCAAGCGAAAGCAUUAAGUAUUCCACCUGGGG
rnacentral:rRNA from 1 species